rnacentral:rRNA from 1 species
CAGUCGCCGCGGGAAUACGUAGGGUGCGAGCGUUAAUCGGAAUUACUGGGCGUAAAGCGUGCGCAGGCGGUUCGUUAAGACAGAUGUGAAAUCCCCGGGCUUAACCUGGGAACUGCAUUUGUGACUGGCGAGCUAGAGUAUGGCAGAGGGGGGUAGAAUUCCACGUGUAGCAGUGAAAUGCGUAGAGAUGUGGAGGAAUACCGAUGGCGAAGGCAGCCCCCUGGGCCAAUACUGACGCUCAUGCACGAAAGCGUGAGGAGCAAACAGGAUUAGAUACCCGCGUAGUCCCUGUCUCUUAUAC